CUCAUUUGAUUCGAUACUCUGAUAAAAGCUCAGGGAGGCACAGAGAUUAUUUAACAGGCUGUGAAGGUUUGUGCCGACAGCUUUGAGGCUCAGCUUCUGAAGAACAAACCUAAAGCGGAAUACUAAAGAUGCAGCCCAGCCUGGUUUUAGCCGCUUUUCUCUGUUUCACUACCUGGAUGAGCUCAGUCCGUACAACCCCUAUAAGCAUACGCAGUUGUUGUGUCGUGUGGUCCAAAACCAGAGUCCCACUUGACCGAAUUGUGAAUUACUCCAUUCAGACUGAAGAUACUUGUCGCAUCAAAGCAGUACAGUUACGGACCGUGCUUGGAAAGACAAUCUGUGCCAA